GUCCGGAGACAGCGGGGAAAGAGAAGUAAGGGAGCGCGAGGUGGGGGGAGAGGGGCCCGUAGGCGAAAGCGGCCGAGCCAACAGCGUCGUCGGCCCGCAGAGAUGGGCCGGUCCCGGAGUCGGAGCUCGUCCCGCUCCAAGCACACCAAGAGCAGUAAGCACAACAAAAAACGGAGCCGGUCGAGGUCGCGGUCCCGGGAUAAGGAGCGGGUUCGCAAACGCUCCAAGUCCCGGGAGAGCAAGAGGAACCGGCGCCGGGAGUCGCGCUCUCGCUCGCGCUCCACCAACGCGGCCGUGUCCCGCCGCGAGCGGGAGCGCGAGCGCGCCUCGUCCCCCCCGGACCGCAUCGACAUCUUCGGGCGCACGGUGAGCAAGCGGAGCAGCCUGGACGAGAAGCAGAAACGCGAGGAGGAGGAGAAGAAGGCAGAGUUCGAGCGGCAGCGAAAGAUUCGACAGCAGGAAAUAGAAGAAAAACUCAUUGAGGAAGAAACAGCGAGAAGAGUGGAAGAACUUGUGGCAAAACGAGUGGAGGAAGAAUUGGAGAAAAGGAAGGAUGAAAUUGAGCGCGAAGUUCUCCGAAGGGUAGAAGAAGCUAAGCGCAUCAUGGAAAAGCAGUUGCUCGAAGAACUCGAGCGACAGAGACAAGCUGAGCUUGCAGCACAAAAAGCUAGAGAGGUAACGCUCGGUCGUUUGGAAAGUAGAGACAGUCCAUGGCAAAACUUUCAGUGUUGGGUUGUGCCUCCUGCUCAGUUCAGAAAGAGAUGGAAUACAGACUAUCUAAUUCCUUUCUCAUAUAAACUUGCAUUGCUGCGGAAGUUAAUUUUUAGCCUAUUCAGAAGAGCUGACUGAUGCUUUAAACAGUUAUUCUCCUAAAACCUAUUCAAGGAUACUUGAUUUUAAUGGAACUGGCCUACAUAUUUGAGAAGUGUUUGAAACUUUUGCCAUGGCUGCAGGACCUACAACCAAUCCUUUCUUUUUUUUCGGGGCGGGGGAAGAGGAGGGUUGGAGACUUGGUAAAGGGAAAAGGUUAAACUCCACCUGUGGUUAUGCAUUCUUCUUUUCUGUUUUAUCAUUCUAUUUACCUAGACUGUGAGAGGCUUCUUGCCUUCAGUCAGUUUAAAAAGAGCAGGGCCCAGCUUUGAGCGAGAGCACCUGCUUUUGACAAAUAGGUUUUCUUAUUCUUCUUUUUUUCCCUUUAAAAAAAAACAAACUUCAAAUCUUGCCUCAACACAAUGGAUUAAUUCUUGGCAUUCUGAUCCUUAAGGCCCUCCACUAUCCUAAUGUGUUUCAAAGAAUCUUUUUAGGAAAAAUGUCCAGAUUAUUAUCCAUUUUUUUAGUAUCUACUAACAACUCCUUUUUUCUCUAGAGAGUUAUGAAGGAACAGGUUGUCCUUGUCUGGAGUCAAGCUAAACACAUGAUUUGUUUUAUCAGCAGCUGGAGCAGAAGUUGAAAAUGUCUUUCUGUGAGACAGUAAUUUGCUACUUAAGUCUCUAUGGCUUGUUUGCACCAAUUACUCCAGAUUUCUAAAACUUCUAAAAAGUCACUGAGACUUUUGAGGCAAAACUAUAGCACUGAGUGAUACUCCACUUAUGUUGGCAGAAAUGAAAAUGACUCUUUACUACAGAGAACUCUGUAGUGGUUUGUUCUUAAAUUUCUGUGGCUAAUAGUCACUCUUAAUCUUGAUGUUUUCUGGUUAUACACAAUAGAAUACCAAAUCCUAUUUGCUUUUAACUUAAAAGCUAUUUUAAGUUUUCUCAUGUUAACUUUGCCAAGAUCAACACACAGUUCUCUGCUUACAGUGGAUUUCAGUUAAUUCCAUAGGUCUUAUGUGCGUAAAAUUUGUUAAAUGUGGUAUAUAUCAGUGCUUUUAAUAAGAUGUUGUUUUUGGAGUAAUAGUGCUGUCUUGUAGCGAGUUACCAAUCAUAGUAAGAUUUUUUUUCUCUUCAUGUGCUUGCUUUGUUUCAUAUUAACAAUUUUUUUUCACACGGACACAAUCCUCUGACAGUCUUUCCAAAUACUAAAAUCAUGUAUGCUGUAAACUGAACACUGCCCAAACCAUCAUGCAGUAUUCAUAUAGUUUGCAUAACAAAAUUUCAUUAAAUUCUCCAAGAAAAAUAAAUUACAGAACUUUAUUUCCUGACCAUGCCUCCCCUGGAUUCCUGAAUUCCAGUUCAAACUGUAGAUGACAAUUUAAGCUGCCUUAAGAAAUUGUCAACAUACUGAAUGUUAAGUCCAUUUUCCCCAUGGAAGAAGCCCUUAGUUCCAUGAAGUAUGGAUUACCAUUUGUAUUUUUCACUAACAGUAAAUGUAUUUUUCUUAUUAAUUGUUUGCCUUAGGAAUGAUGAAUUACAUUUUUUGUUCCUUCUUACCAUAAACAUCUGCAUUCCUCAGCUCAGCCUUCCUUGUAUGUUGUUUCUUUAUAAAUGGUUGAGCUGCUGAUGCAGGUAUUGCCAAGCUAACAGUACAAAUCAUUUUAAAGAGGAAGCUGGCGCGUAUGGCAGCCGAGGAGCACACUCUGCAGGACACUGGACAAGACAGAGGAAGAGCGUGCAAAACGUGAGGAACUGGAGCGAAUACUG